CUGCAUCCCUGUGAUGAAGCCUACUUGAUCAUGUAAGCUAGAGACUGGCUUCAGAGUUUGCUGGAUGAAGGGUAAGGACAGUAACCCAUUAAAAACUAUUCUAGAAAAUGUCUUUUGGCAGAAUAGCAGGUAUCCAAGUUAAAAAUAGGAAGGUCAGUUUGUUUUGUCGUCUUUUCAAAGUUUAAACCACUCUUUGUUCCCUUCUAACACGAACCUCAGUCACCACUCCUGAGUGGAGAUGGGCAGAGGUGCUGGCCCCUGCUCCUCGGGCUUCUCAGCAGCAGCUUUCUUACUGCUGCAGCAAGGCUUGAAGAGAUGAGUAUCGAUGAGGACUUCCCCAAAACGGCCCUUAUAGAUGAUUCCACAACAUAUUUUCUGUCUUUUCCAGUAGGUCAGAUCUAAGAAUGAAAAAACUGAAGUUCUAUUAGAGCUGGAAGCCAUUUCUGUAUCUGAGCCCUCAUCUGACUGGUUACUGUAGCAAGGAGACUGGGCUGGAGAGGCACUUGAGGUGGUGCUGUGAGCAUCAGAAUUGUGGCGUUUAAAUUCCUUCUGCAGUUUACUGACCUGGUUGCUUUUCAUCCUGUUUCCAGAUAGAGUUUUCACUUUCUUUGGUUUCAGUGUUGUCUUUAGACUGGGGCCUGCUCUUGAAUCUACCACAUGAUUCCAGUUUUGUUUUUUUUGUUUUGUUUUUUUUUUGUUUUGUUUUGUUUUUUUUUGAUCCUGCCGGCAACUUCUUCCAUCUUUUCACAAGCAGCACAUAGGCGUGGCAAAUGUCUCCUGAGCGAGUCUCAUGCAACCCAAAACAGCUCUGGAAGUCCUUUUCAUAACGCUUACUGUCCGUGAACCGAGAGCUGGAGGACUUGGCUCUGCAUAUACAGCAGCCCUCUAUACUUCGGUACAUCUUUGACUUGUGAAAACCAAACAUCUUUUCUUCUGGUUGAAAGCUUCCACGCGCAGCAGCGUCCCCACGGUGCAAACUGCACCAAGCCAACCCCUUGCAAGCACUCCCUCCGCCAGCGCCAACUCCAGAAAGAUCUACAAUGAGUAAUUUAAAAAGGAAAAAGGAAAGUGGGAUAUAUAUUUAUUAUCCAAAACUGAUAAAUUUAUAUUGCACAAAG